rnacentral:lncRNA from 1 species
ACAUGUUGUCUAUGGUUCCAAAAAUACCUGGAAAUCAAAGAAAGUAAGAAGAAUGAGGGAUCAACAGUAGCAAAAGUGUAUCAGCAGCAAUGUAACAGUGUUAACACAGCAAAACAAACCCAAACUUCAAAAUCAGCUCCAAACGAUUCAAACCAGAUGCAUGAUUUGGGAUUUUGAGAAACUCUAAUUAACCAGAGGAAACCAAAGAACCAAAACUAGGCCAAUUUUCCGCAAUUGUUCAGUAUUGUUGAGUUUUUUUAGGGACUUCAGCCGUCUCUCAAAUUUUCAGUAUUUUUAGCUUUCUAAAAUC